rnacentral:sRNA from 1 species
UGUCAAAGGUCCGAGAUGAUCAAUGUGGU